rnacentral:rRNA from 1 species
UACGGAAGGCAGCAGUGGGGAAUAUUGCACAAUGGGCGCAAGCCUGAUGCAGCCAUGCCGCGUGUAUGAAGAAGGCCUUCGGGUUGUAAAGUACUUUCAGUCGUGAGGAAGGUGUUAAGGUUAAUAACCUUAGCAAUUGACGUUAGCGACAGAAGAAGCACCGGCUAACUCCGUGCCAGCAGCCGCGGUAAUACGGAGGGUGCGAGCGUUAAUCGGAAUUACUGGGCAUAAAGGGCACGCAGGCGGUUAAUUAAGUUGGAUGUGAAAUCCCCGGGCUUAACCUGGGAAUGGCAUUCAAGACUGGUUAGCUAGAGUCUUGUAGAGGGGGUAGAAUUCCAUGUGUAGCGGUGAAAUGCGUAGAGAUGUGGAGGAAUACCGGUGGCGAAGGCGGCCCCUGGGACAAGACUGACGCUCAUGUGCGAAAGCGUGGGGAGCAAACGAGGGAUUAGGAUAC